rnacentral:rRNA from 1 species
UACGUAGGUGGCAAGCGUUGUCCGGAAUUAUUGGGCGUAAAGCGCGCGCAGGUGGUUUCUUAAGUCUGAUGUGAAAGCCCCCGGCUCAACUGGGGAGGGUCACGCGAUACUGAUCGACUCGAAGGCAGGAGAGGGAAGUGGAAUUCCCGGUGUAGUGGUGAAAUGCGUAGAUAUCGGGAGGAACACCAGUGGCGAAGGCGACUUCCUGGCCUGUUCUUGACGCUGAGGAGCGAAAGCGUGGGGAGCAAACAGG